rnacentral:rRNA from 1 species
UACGUAGGGUGCAAGCGUUGUCCGGAAUUAUUGGGCGUAAAGAGCUCGUAGGCGGCUUGUCACGUCGGCUGUGAAAACCCGGGGCUCAACCCCGGGCCUGCAGUCGAUACGGGCAAGCUAGAGUUCGGCAGGGGAGACUGGAAUUCCUGGUGUAGCGGUGAAAUGCGCAGAUAUCAGGAGGAACACCGGUGGCGAAGGCGGGUCUCUGGGCCGAUACUGACGCUGAGGAGCGAAAGCGUGGGGAGCGAUCCGG